rnacentral:rRNA from 1 species
CGAAGUGGUUGAUGCCAUGCUUCCAAGAAAAGCUUCUAAGCUUCAGGUAACCAGGAACCGUACCCCAAACCGACACAGGUGGUUGGGUAGAGAAUACCAAGGCGCUUGAGAGAACUCGGGUGAAGGAACUAGGCAAAAUGGCACCGUAACUUCGGGAGAAGGUGCGCCGGUGAGGGUGAAGGACUUGCUCCGUAAGCUCAUGCCGGUCGAAGAUACCAGGCCGCUGCGACUGUUUAUUAAAAACACAGCACUCUGCAAACACGAAAGUGGACGUAUAGGGUGUGACGCCUGCCCGGUGCCGGAAGGUUAAUUGAUGGGGUUAGCUAACGCGAAGCUCUUGAUCGAAGCCCCGGUAAACGGCGGCCGUAACAAUAACGGUCCUAAGGUAGCGAAAUUCCUUGUCGGGUAAGUUCCGACCUGCACGAAUGGCGUAACGAUGGCGGCGCUGUCUCCACCCGAGACUCAGUGAAAUUGAAAUCGCUGUGAAGAUGCAGUGUAUCCGCGGCUAGACGGAAAGACCCCGUGAACCUUUACUAUAGCUUUGCACUGGACUUUGAAUUUGCUUGUGUAGGAUAGGUGGGAGGCUUUGAAGCGUGGACGCCAGUCUGCGUGGAGCCAACCUUGAAAUACCACCCUGGCAACUUUGAGGUUCUAACUCAGGUCCGUUAUCCGGAUCGAGGACAGUGUAUGGUGGGUAGUUUGACUGGGGCGGUCUCCUCCUAAAGAGUAACGGAGGAGUACGAAGGUGCGCUCAGACCGGUCGGAAAUCGGUCGUAGAGUAUAAAGGCAAAAGCGCGCUUGACUGCGAGACAGACACGUCGAGCAGGUACGAAAGUAGGUCUUAGUGAUCCGGUGGUUCUGUAUGGAAGGGCCAUCGCUCAACGGAUAAAAGGUACUCCGGGGAUAACAGGCUGAUACCGCCCAAGAGUUCAUAUCGACGGCGGUGUUUGGCACCUCGAUGUCGGCUCAUCACAUCCUGGGGCUGAAGCCGGUCCCAAGGGUAUGGCUGUUCGCCAUUUAAAGUGGUACGCGAGCUGGGUUUAGAACGUCGUGAGACAGUUCGGUCCCUAUCUGCCGUGGACGUUUGAGAUUUGAGAGGGGCUGCUCCUAGUACGAGAGGACCGGAGUGGACGAACCUCUGGUGUUCCGGUUGUCACGCCAGUGGCAUUGCCGGGUAGCUAUGUUCGGAAUAGAUAACCGCUGAAAGCAUCUAAGCGGGAAACUUGCCUCAAGAUGAGAUCUCACUGGAACCUUGAGUUCCCUGAAGGGCCGUCGAAGACUACGACGUUGAUAGGUUGGGUGUGUAAGCGCUGUGAGGCGUUGAGCUAACCAAUACUAAUUGCCCGUGAGGCUUGACCA